GACGAACGCUGGCGGCGUGCUUAACACAUGCAAGUCGAACGGAAAGACCCUGCUUUGGUGGGGUGCUCGAGUGGCGAACGGGUGAGUAACACGUGAGUAACCUGCCCUUGACUUUGGGAUAACUUCAGGAAACUGGGGCUAAUACCGGAUAGGAGCUCCUGCUGCAUGGUGGGGGCUGGAUAGUUUCGGCGGUUGGGGAUGGACUCGCGGCGUAUCAGCUUGUUGGUGGGGUAGUGGCUUACCAAGGCUUUGACCGGUAGCCGGCCUGAGAGGGUGACCGGCCACAUUGGAACUGAGAUACGGCCCAGACUCCUACGGGAGGCAGCAGUGGGGAAUAUUACACAAUGGGCGGAAGCCUGAUGCAGCACCGCCGCGUGGGGGAUGACGGCCUUCGGGUUGUAUACCGCUUUCGCCUGUGACGAAGCGUGAGUGACGGUAAUGGGUAAAGAAGCACCGGCUAACUACGUG
rnacentral:rRNA from 1 species